CUUAGAUGCUGUUCUUGGGCUUUGUUCCUGAUUUGGGUACACAGGUCCUUGUGCUCAUAUCUUAUUUCCCUUUGAUCCUUUUUGCUUAGUUAUUCUCGUCUAUCAUAUAUUGCUUUAUUAUAACAGCUUGCAUUUUAUAAACGAUAAAAGGACUACCUCCCACUGUGAGGCUGGAGCCCCAAAGUGCUGUAGCGCCGUGAGUGCUUUCUGGGCGGAUUGGGAGAGACGACCUCGGGGGCUGCAUCCUCAAGGACUGACUCUAAGGUGGAGUUCAGUUCUCCUCGCACACUGCUCACACACUCCCUACACACUCCUCAUACACUCCUUACACACACCUCACACACUCCUUACACACACCUCACACCCUCCUCCCGUAUGUGUAUCAGGAUGAAGCUCCUCGCUCUGGUGCUCCUGCUCUCUGCUUUUCCCUCACUCACUCUAACGGAGGUUGUGGGAUCUUUUCCACAAACCUGUCCUUUAUUCUUCAUGCUAAACCCAAAAGAUCAUAAUGUCCGCAUCGUCCCCACUAUCUUCACAGGACAUCAGUAUAAGAAAAUUUGUCAGCGCUGGAAAAACAAUUACAGAUUUGCCACCGUGUAUGACACCGAGAGGAGGAUCCCUGUUUACUCGGCCUACAGGUUUACACAGCGAGUGAAUACUGUACGCAAUGAGGACUGGAAAAUUGAGCCUCAGCUUGAAAAACAGAUCAAAGGAUAUGAAGAUAUAAAAGAGAUGAUGGAUUCCCCGAGAGAAGCAGGGAAGAUAACUCACCAGGCUGUGAACUCAGAUUAUAUAAACAGGGUGAUUAAUAAAAUUGUCUAUACUCGAGGUCACGUGUUUCCACGUGAAUAUGCUGGUGAUCAGGAUCAAGCAGAUUCUACAUUCACUUUAACCAACAUAGCACCCCAGUCAGAGGCCAGCAAUGGGGAGUGGGAAAGGCAAGUGGAGACACCGAUGAUUAAUAACAUCACUGACAGGUGCAAAAAUCAACCAGCGUACAUUGUGACCGGGGUCGUUCCAGGAGACAAUUGGUUUAACAUUAAAAGAAACAAUAAAAACAUAAAUUACAGAAUUAACAUUCCCAGUUAUUAUUGGAGCGCUUUCUGUUGUAAAGACAAAAAUAGGAGACUCAUAUCGGGGGCCUGGAUCGCUAAGCAAGGGGGGACUGACCAGGAAUUUGACCUCAGACGUCCCAGCAUAGAUAAUCUGAAUAAACGACUCACUGAAUUAUAUCGUAAGGAUUUCAGUGUGUUUCCAGGGUUAGAUUUUUAAAACUUGUUUUUAUGUGAUUGUUAAUGUUAAGGUUUGAGAGGCUAACCUCUUUAAAUUCUCUAUUAGAUCUCAAAAGGGCAUAAAAUCAGUUUUGCUGAAAUAACGCUGAUUAAAGCUUCUGCAACCAGAAAUAUUAAAAUGCUGUAUUGUGUUAAAGAAUCUCUCAGUGUUUCUCUGAUGUGUGUUUAAUUGAACUAAAUCCAGGUGUGUAUUUACAGCUGCUUUUACACUCGGCCAGCGCACGUGUUACAGACACGUCUACAGGAAGUAGAAACUGUUUAAUUUGUCAUAGUGAAACUUUCUUAAUCUCCUGACCGAUCAGGUAAUGAGAUAUGGGUUAAGUGACAAAACACACAUGGAGGACAAAAUACUGGUCAAAAAAGAGUUGUGUAAUGAGUUAAUAUAAAAAGAUUUAUGAAAAUAUCUCUUUUGAUUUCCUCUAUUUAAAACCAUUUUUUAAUCUGGAUUACUGAGAAAAAGAGUUGUGUAAUGAGCUAACAGAUCUGUAGUGGUGCUCCUGUUGGAAAAGUGUAAAAGCAGCAUGAAAGACACUUCAUUAUCAUUUAAUCAUUUUUUUUCAUCACUUAUGUAUACACUUAUGCUAAAAGCUUUUUAAUAAAUAUCCUUAGGUUUGCUUCUCUUGGUAUAAAAGCUACUUUUAAGCAACAUUACAUUAUGUUCAAAAUACUUUAGAUAUACUCUGUUAGU